rnacentral:lncRNA from 1 species
AGAUCGGUACGUACUGUGUCUUCUCUCAGGGAGAGUGACUAGUCUCGAGUCAUUGGUGUGUGUGACAUCAAGUCAAGUACGUAGGUGCUCAAUAGAGAAUGAGUUCACUGAACACGAUCAACGAAGAGUUCUCAUAUUCAUGUCACAUGAGAACUCAUGGUUGGGAUAAUGCAAAGUAGUCAUUUGACCUGAGGCAUCAUCGUUGUCUUGUGGUUAAGUCCUUGAUCUUUGAUUAUGUCAAACGUCAUUCCAUUGGAGUGUCCACGGCAUCGUUGGGGUUAAGCCACUUAGCCAUGGAGGCAAGUGAAUGCGCAACAAGGGAUCUCUAACCUUCAAACUGUUUGAGGGAAAAUACUCUAUGAUAUGAUUAGAAUCUCUGGCCAGAGUAUGAAUGAGAUUUAG